UACGGGGGGGGCAAGCGUUGUUCGGGAUUACUGGGCGUAAAGGGCUCGUAGGUGGCCAACUAAGUCAGACGUGAAAUCCCUCGGCUUAACCGGGGAACUGCGUCUGAUACUGGAUGGCUUGAGUUUGGGAGAGGGACGCGGAAUUCCAGGUGUAGCGGUGAAAUGCGUAGAUAUCAUGAGGAACACCAGAGGCGAAGGCGGCUACCUGGACAGUUACUGACGCUCAGGCACGAAAGCGUGGGGAGCAAAAGGG
rnacentral:rRNA from 1 species